UACAGAGGGUGCAAGCGUUAAUCGGAAUUACUGGGCGUAAAGAGUGCGUAGGCGGUUCGUUAUGUCUGCUGUGAAAGCCCCGGGCUUAACCCGGGAAUGGCAGUGGAAACUGGCGGGCUUGAGUGUGGCAGAGGGGGGUGGAAUUCCGCGUGUAGCAGUGAAAUGCGUAGAUAUGCGGAGGAACACCGAUGGCGAAGGCAAUCCCCUGGGCCUGCACUGACGCUCAUGCACGAAAGCGUGGGGAGCAAACAGG
rnacentral:rRNA from 1 species